CAAGAAACUUCUUUGUUCUUUAGAGACUGAGCUUUAUCCCCAAGCACUAACAGAAUUGAAGUGGAAGAAGUUGGAAUUAUUCAUUUUGGGAUUUUAGGAAUGGAAUAAAGCCCAUUCUGCCUGUCUCACUCCGAAUUGCUCAGGCUGUAAGAUGUGGUACUGGGGGUAGUACUAGCCUCCAUAUUUCAUACCAUGUGGUGUGG
rnacentral:lncRNA from 1 species